AUGCAGGUUCUAUUUUAUUGUUCCGAGACUUAUGAUGAUAGGAUUGAGAAUGAGAAAUCUUUGCAAAAUGCACGUAUUAUUAAUGAGUUCUGGAACGAUUACUACGCUAAUCUGUUGGAUAUUGACAAAAUGAAAAAGACUUCUAAUGUUGAUAUGUAUCAGGAUGAUGUUAGAAAGUUGUUGAUUAAUGAAAAGAAGAAUCAAAAUGGUGUGUUUUACGAUACUGAAUUAAUAGAUUUACAGAAUCAAAUUGCAAAUUCCAUAGCAAAGUUCAAUGAGGAUAAUCAAUUUAAAGUAACUCCUAACAUAUAG
rnacentral:rRNA from 1 species